AAGUUACUGCUAUCGAGGUUCGACUAAGCCAUGCGAGUAGAAUGUAGCAAUACAUGGCGUACUGCUCAGUAACACGUGGACAACCUACCCUCCGGACGGGUAUAAACCCGGGAAACUGGGUAUAAUCCCCGAUAGAUCUCGGUCGCUGGAAUGCCCCGAGAUCGAAAGCUCCGGCGCCAGAGGAUGGGUCUGCGGCCUAUCAGGUAGUAGUGGGUGUAGCGUACCUACUAGCCUACGACGGGUACGGGUUGUGAGAGCAAGAGCCCGGAGAUGGAUUCUGAGACACGAAUCCAGGCCCUACGGGGUGCAGCAGGCGCGAAAACUUUACAAUGCCGGCAACGGCGAUAAGGGGACCUCGAGUGCCAGGUUACAAAUCUGGCUGUCGUGAUGCCUAAAAAGCAUUGCAUAGCAAGGGCCGGGCAAGACCGGUGCCAGCCGCCGCGGUAACACCGGCGGCUCGAGUGGUAACCGUUAUUAUUGGGUCUAAAGGGUCUGUAGCCGGCCGGAUAAGUCUCUUGAGAAAUCCAGCAGCUCAAUGUUGGGCUUUCAGGAGAUACUGUUCGGCUCGAGGCCGGGAGAGGUGAGAGGUACUUCAGGGGUAGGGGUGAAAUCUUGUAAUCCUUGAAGGACCACCAGUGGCGAAGGCGUCUCACCAGAACGGACCUGACGGCAAGGGACGAAAGCUAGGGGCACGAACCGGAUUAGAUACCCGGGUAGUCCUAGCCGUAAACGAUACUCGCUAGGUGUCGGCCACGGUGCGACCGUUGU
rnacentral:rRNA from 1 species